rnacentral:rRNA from 1 species
ACACCGGCAGCUCAAGUGGUAGCCGCUUUUAUUGGGCCUAAAGCGUCCGUAGCCGGUCUGAUAAGUCUCUGGUGAAAUCCCGCAGCUUAACUGUGGGAAUUGCUGGAGAUACUAUCAUGACUCGAGGUCUGGAGAGGCUGGAGGGACUCCCAGGGUAGGGGUGAAAUCAUGUAAUCCUGGGAGGACCACCUGUGGCGAAGGCGUCCAGCUGGAACGAACCUGACGGUGAGGGACGAAAGCCAGGGGCGCGAACCGGAUUAGAUACCCGGGUAGUCCUGGCCGUAAACGAUGUGGACUUGGUGUUGGGAUGGCUUCGAGCUGCCCCAGUGCCGAAGGGAAGCUGUUAAGUCCACCGCCUGGGAAGUACGGCCGCAAGGCUGAAACUUAAAUGAAUUGGCGGGG